rnacentral:rRNA from 1 species
UACGUAGGGGGCUAGCGUUGUCCGGAUUUAUUGGGCGUAAAGGGCGCGUAGGCGGCUUUGCAAGUGACGGGUGAAAUCCCUCGGCUUAACCGAGGAACUGCCUGUCAGACUGUGAGGCUUGAGACCGGGAGAGGUGAGUGGAAUUCCCAGUGUAGCGGUGAAAUGCGUAGAUAUUGGGAGGAACACCAGUGGCGAAGGCGGCUCACUGGACCGGAACUGACGCUGAGGCGCGAAAGCGUGGGGAGCAAACAGG